rnacentral:rRNA from 1 species
GAUGAACGCUGGCGGCGUGCCUAAUACAUGCAAGUCGAGCGAACGGAUGAGAAGCUUGCUUCUCUGAUGUUAGCGGCGGACGGGUGAGUAACACGUGGAUAACCUACCUAUAAGACUGGGAUAACUUCGGGAAACCGGAGCUAAUACCGGGUAAUAUUUUGAACCGCAUGGUUCAAAAGUGAAAGACGGUCUUGCUGUCACUUAUAGAUGGAUCCGCGCUGCAUUAGCUAGUUGGUAAGGUAACGGCUUACCAAGGCAACGAUGCAUAGCCGACCUGAGAGGGUGAUCGGCCACACUGGAACUGAGACACGGUCCAGACUCCUACGGGAGGCAGCAGUAGGGAAUCUUCCGCAAUGGGCGAAAGCCUGACGGAGCAACGCCGCGUGAGUGAUGAAGGUCUUCGGAUCGUAAAACUCUGUUAUUAGGGAAGAACAUAUGUGUAAGUAACUGUGCACAUCUUGACGGUACCUAAUCAGAAAGCCACGGCUAACUACGUG